AGUGAACGCUGGCGGUAGGCCUAACACAUGCAAGUCGAACGGCAGCACAGUAAGAGCUUGCUCUUACGGGUGGCGAGAGGCGGACGGGUGAGGAAUACAUCGGAAUCUACUUUUUCGUGGGGGAUAACGUAGGGAAACUUACGCUAAUAUCGCAUACGACCUACGGGUGAAAGCAGGGGAUCUUUGGACCUUGCGCGAUUGAAUGAGCCGAUGUCGGAUUAGCUAGUUGGCGGGGUAAUGGCCCACGAAGGCGGCGAUCCGUAGCUGGACUGAGAGGAGGAUCAGCCACACGGGAACUGAGACACGGUCCAGACUCCUACGGGAGGCAGCAGUGGGGAAUAUUGGACAAUAGGCGCAAGCCUGAUCCAGCCAUACCGCGUGUGUGAAGAAGGCGUUCGGGUUGUAAAGCCCUUUUGUUGGGAAAGAAAAGCAGCAGGUUAAUACCCCGCUGUUCUGACGGUACCCAAAGAAUAAGCACCGGCUAACUUCGUG
rnacentral:rRNA from 1 species